AUGUCUCUCCCAAAUAAUGCUGCCCCUAUUACUAUUGUGCCUUAUGAAAAUAUAAUUGUGGAAGAUAAUGAUACUUCUUAUGAUCUUGAAAAUCUUUUUGGCACUUGCUUGGAAGAAUAUGAUAAUUUCUAUACUAUUGGUGCUAUCCAUACUAUUAAUUAUGAGAGUGAGUAUGCUUAUGAUAUGAAAAGGCCCAAGCUUGGGGAUGCUAUGUUUGAUGAGGAUGAUGUUUUUGAGAAUAUAUUUGCUGCAAUUAAUGUUUGUCCUAAGCUUGGGGAUGCUACACUUAAUGAAGAUGAUAUUUUUAGUCUCCCAAGUUUUGAUAUGCAAAUUUAUAAUGAUGAUAGCAUGCCUCCUACCUAUGAUGAUUAUUGUGAUGAUACUUAUGCUAUAAAAAGUAGUGAUUAUAUUUAUAAAACUUGUCAUGAUUAUGAUUACCCCUUCUCUGAACAUUACUCUUUUAAUGUGGAAACAAUUUAUUGUAUUCAAGUCUCUUAUGAUACUCCCACUAUUCCGAAUGGGAAGAAUUUUGCUUAUGUGGAGAGUAGUAAAUUUUCUAUGCUUGUAGAUCAUGAAAAUAAUGCUUUAGGUGCUGGUUAUAUUGUUGAAUUCAUUCAUGAUGCUACUGAAAAUUAUUAUGAGGGAGGAACAUAUGCUUGUAGGAAUUGCAAUAAUAUCAAGUUUCCUCUCUAUGUGCUUAAAGUUUUGAAGUUAUGCUUGUUUUACCUUCCUAUGAAAGUUGAUUCUUGUUCUCAUAAGUUGUUUGCUCAAAAAAUCCCUAUGCAUAGGAAGUGGGUUAGACUUAAAUGUGCUAGUCAUAUUCUUCAUGAUGCUCUCUUUAUGUUUCAAUUCUUAUCUUUUAUAUGA
rnacentral:rRNA from 1 species